rnacentral:tRNA from 1 species
AGGUAGAAUGGCCGAGGUAGGCGGCAGGCUGUAGUCCUGUUUACAUUGGUUUAUCCCUUUUUCUAU